rnacentral:snRNA from 1 species
AUACUUACCUGGCGUAGAGGUUACCGUGAUCAAGAAGGCGGUUCCUCCAGGGUGAGGCUCUUCCAUUGCACUACGGUUGAGCUGACCUCUGCGAAUACCCCUAAUGUGGGUAUCUCGGACGUACAAUUUUUGGUAGUCGGGACUGCGUUCGCGCUAUCCCGG